GAUGAACGCUGGCGGCGUGCCUAAUACAUGCAAGUUGAGCGCUGACACUUGGUACUUGUGCCAAUUGGGUUAGCGGCGAACGGGUGAGUAACGCGUGGGUAAUCUGCCUUUGAGCGGGGGACAACAUUGUGAAACGAAUGCUAAUACCGCAUAAUAACUUUAAACACAAGUUUCAAGGGUUAAAGAUGCAAUUGCAGCACUCAAAGGUGAUACGGCGUUGUAUUAGCUAGUUGGUGAGGUAAAGGCUCACCAAGGCGAUGAUACAUAGCCGACCUGAGAGGGUGAUCGGCCACAUUGGGACUGAGACACGGACCAAACUCCUACGGGAGGCAGCAGUAGGGAAUCUUCGGCAAUGGGCGAAAGCCUGACCGAGCAACGCCGCGUGAGUGAAGAAGGUUUUCGGAUCGUAAAACUCUGUUGGUAGGGAAGAACGUCGGUGAGAGUAGACAGCGCAUCAAGUGACGUUACCAAACAAGAAGGAGCGGGUAACUUAGGU
rnacentral:rRNA from 1 species